rnacentral:lncRNA from 1 species
GGGGCAUAUUUUUUUCGGUUCUAAAUUUCAAUCGAUUACUUUUCAACUAUUCCUAUUCUAUAAUCUUGUUUUUUUUUCAUCCAUUAUUCUCUAAUGAAUAACCAUCCUAACCUUCCUUUUAUACUUUUUGGCCGCAGUGGCCGUAAUCUUCAGCCGUAAUUAACCUUUAUUUGGAAAAACAAAAACAGAAGCCUUUUUCCAUUUUUUU